rnacentral:tRNA from 1 species
GCCUCAGUGGCUCAGUGGUUAGAGCGCCAGGGACUUUAAUCCCAAGGUGUGAGUUCAAUCCUCACCGGGACCA